rfam:Brassica oleracea var. oleracea cultivar TO1000 chromosome C5, whole genome shotgun sequence
GGAAUAUAACCACACGUCUCUUAACUUUUAACUAAAAAAACUAAGAACCGGUUAUUAACUAAGAGUUUUAAGAGCCGGUUCUUAACUUUUUUAGUUAAAAGUUAAGAGACGGGUUCUUAUAUUCC